CUGAUAUUCAAACAUUGAUAAAUGAAUGCAAAACAUAGAAUAUCCAAUUCAUAAUAGACAACAAAAUAAAGGAUCAGAAAUAAAUACUUUAAGACGGUCCAUAUAACCAGACAGAUAUUCAAGAAGUUUAAGAUAAUGGUUCAAGAAACUUCAAAUUAUAAUUAACAAAACUUGCAAAUUGCUUUGUCAACUAGCCUAAGUAACUAAACAAUCGCCUGUGACUUGUUGAGGAUCACACCCUCAUAUUUCACCUGGAACCACUUCAUGGAAUCAUCCUUUGUUACCCGAUGUUGGAUCCCAACACGAGCCUUGCACCGACGACGACGUCCCACACGGUAACCGGGACGCUCUAGAACAACGAAAAAGUCCAUUCCAUAAAUACCGGUAGAAGGAUCAUACCUGAAAAAGAAACAAUGUUAAACAUAAAUCAUAACAAACUUGGUGGUGAUGGAAUAUCGUUAGAAAUCGGAUUAUAAGCUUAAAGACUGAAAUUAUAAAACACUCAAAGGAAAUCAAAGACUGAAUUUCAAAUUUUUUUAAUAAGCUUAAAGAGACAUAAAAAUCGGAAUAACUCAGCUUAUAACUUCAAAUCCAACAUGCAUUGUGAUAAACACUUAUCCUAAAAUUAUGUAAAACUCUUUUUCCACAUGUGCAGAGCAAAUAGGGAUGAGCUACAAGCACUACAACGAAACUUUGAACACCUAAUAGCUUUAGCCAUUAUUUCCUUUUGUAGAACUGAAUAAUAAAGCAACAUUGAACAUAUAUUUCAGUUGCAGAUACAAGAGAUUUAGAGCUUACUUGAUUCCCAAAUCAAUAUGCUCCUGAAUACCGAAUCCAAAACACCCAGUAUCACUAAAAUUUCUUCUCAGCAAUUCAUAUUCCUUCACCUUCAAACCGCUCUCCAAAAGUUGCAUUGCCUUGUCACCUCUAACAGUCACAUAGCAAGCAAUCUUUUCAUUUCUUCUAAUACCAAAAGAACGGACAGUGUAUCGAGCUGUCAAAAGGAGAGAAGAAAAAGAAAAACAACAAUCAGUUAACUGGCCCAUCAUCUAAUAGAUAUGAAAACUUGACGAUCCGCAAUUGCAACUAGACUUGAUUUCUUAGUAUGAAAGCAACACAAACUAUUUCAGCUCAAAACAAGUUGCAUUUACACAUUUUUAUCAUUCAAGAAUAGAUAUGGUGUAUAGGAAAAAUCAAAUAUGCUGAGUUAUUUAAGUACCAUUCUAUCAUCAUUAACAUUUAAGAUAUGGUACAAAUGUAAGAAUUUCCCCAAAUUAUUGUGACUUGAAAACAACCAAAAGUUUUCAACAAUCUUCUUCUGGUAUUUUCGUUUAGGCUCCAAGCGGCAGUCAGGCAGUCAUUAAACAGACCCCUGCUGUGACUCAAAUAUAAUAGAGCCCUUAAGUUUAACUCUCAUUAAAAACAUAUUUUGUUCAAGAUCCUAAAACUUAUAAAAAAUCAUAUCAAUAAUCCUAUAAUAUUCACGUACAGUGUAUCUUUCUGUCAACAAGAAAAGAAGAGGAAAAGAAAAGCAAGGAACAAUCAGCAAACAACCCCAGUAUCUAAUAGAAUAGUAAUUGCAGCUAGAAAACUUGAUUUUUGCAUGCAGGGAAUAUAAAUUCAACAAAAACUGUUUCAACUCAAAACAUGUUACAUUCAGGCAUUUUAAUUUAAGCCAUGACAAUAUACUAUAAAUAUAAAAAUAUAAUUUUAAUAUUCAAUUUAGAAAACAAAUGUUAAGGAUUUCGCCAGAUAAUUGUGUCUUGAAAACAACCAAAAACUUUCAAGGAUCUUCUUCUGGUAUUUUAAUUUAGGCCCCAAGCGGCAGUCAAGUAGUCAUUAAACAGACCCCUGCUGUUGACUCGAUUAUAAAAUGGAGCCUUUUCCUUUUUAUCAUCAUUCAUAUCAUAAUUUGAUCAAAUUCAUAAACUUAUGAACUAUCAUUUCAAUGAUCCUACUCACAAACAAAAAUUGUUCCUUUUAGUAAAAGAAAGUACACAAUCACUACUAAACUUUAUGAUAUUUCACAUUUCAUGUUACUCCUUUGUGCAGCAAAAAAUAAAAAAAACACUUACCGAUUAUAUUUAUAAAUCAUCAACAUCAAUGUAAUGAAAAACAUUGACGCAAUACACAAACACACCGAAAUCGAAAACAAGUCAAGCAGCCACUAUUAAACAUGAAUUACACAAUCUAUCAAUGCAAUUUAACAUUUAACAGAUGAUACAAACAUAAGAAUUUCACCAGAUAAUUGUGUCUUGAAAACAACCAAAAACUUUCAAGGAUCUUCUCCUGGUAUUUUCAUUUAGGCUCCAAGCGGCAGUCAGGUAGUCAUUAAACAGACCCCUGCUGUUGACUCGUUAUAUAAUAGAGCCCUUAAUAUUUAUCAACAAUCUUAUUCAAAUAUACAAGAAUAAACAGUCAAUUUAGUCCCUAAACUAUCACUCUAUCACCAAUUUGGCCCCUGAACUAUUAAAAUCAAAAUCAAGGAUAACACAAUCAUUGAUCAAUUUAGACCCUAAAAUAUACAAGAAUAAACAUCCACCUGUCAAUUUAGUCCCUCAGUAUGAGAAGUUCAGUUUAUAGACCUUUUAGUUGAUUUUAAUAGUUUACCAAUCAAAUUGAUGAGUGAUAGUUUAAGGACUAAAUUGACUGUUUAUUCAAUAUACAAUCACUCCUAAAACUUUAGAUAUAGAUUCACAUUUAUUGUUACUCCAUCAAGCAGCAAAAUACUAUCAAUUACACAUCAAUGAAUAAACAUAGACAUACAUUUUAAUAUUUAAAUAAAAACAUUAACAAAAUAAUCAAUUAACUUAAAAACAUUAACUUCAAAAACUAAACAAAAUAAUCCAUUAAUCCAAAUUAUCACCUCUAAUGACAGUUUCCUUUGAAAAUCAAAUCAAAUUAAGAUAUCAAUAAAUCAAAAACAAAAAUAAACCUUUGGAAAACACUGGGGUUUGGCCACUGAGUUGUUCCAACACCUGAUAAAUCCAAAAAUGAGCAUGUUAAAAUAUAAAAUAUUAUAAAAAUUAAAAUAAAUAAAAAAUUAAAAUUAAAAUUAAAAUUAAAAUUACCUUUGCAGCUCUGGUGAGACGAUCGCCACUUUCACCAACAGAGAUAUUAAGAACAAGUUUCUGAACCUUAAUAUCCCUCAUGGGGUUCGAG
rnacentral:lncRNA from 1 species